UGUCAGUGCCAUAUUGUAUUGUAAGAGUACUUUGUACAAUGAACAGUCUAAUGUCAAGGUCAUGUUGGAGGUUAAAGGUCACCAAAAUGCCUAGUGUUUUCAAAAAUUUAUACCAUUCCAACGUUUGAUCAAAUAUGUCCUCAGUUCUCUCCCUCUGCAAGAACUAUACUGUAUUUUACAAGAAUUACAACAUGUGGUGAGAUGGGACUUUACUAGAACCAGGCAUCAGAAGCCAAACACUCUUCAAUGGAAACACCUACAAGUUGCAAUUG